rnacentral:rRNA from 1 species
CGUGUAGGCGGUUAGUUAAGUCUGGCGUGAAAGCUCUCGGCUAAACCGGGAGAGGUCGUUGGAUACUGGCAAACUAGAGGACGGUAGAGGCGUGUGGAAUUCCGGGUGUAGUGGUGAAAUGCGUAGAGAUCCGGAGGAACACCAGUGGCGAAGGCGACACGCUGGGCCGUACCUGACGCUAAAGCGCGACAGCAUGGGGAAGCAAACG